rnacentral:rRNA from 1 species
AGGGGGCCAUCCCGGCUUACCAACCCGAUGCAAACUGCGAAUACCGGAGAAUGUUAUCACGGGAGACACACGGCGGGUGCUAACGUCCGUCGUGAAGAGGGAAACAACCCAGACCGCCAGCUAAGGUCCCAAAGUCAUGGUUAAGUGGGAAACGAUGUGGGAAGGCCCAGACAGCCAGGAUGUUGGCUUAGAAGCAGCCAUCAUUUAAAGAAAGCGUAAUAGCUCACUGGUCGAGUCGGCCUGCGCGGAAGAUGUAACGGGGCUAAACCAUGCACCGAAGCUGCGGCAGCGACACUCAGGUGUUGUUGGGUAGGGGAGCGUUCUGUAAGCCUGUGAAGGUGGCCUGUGAGGGUUGCUGGAGGUAUCAGAAGUGCGAAUGCUGACAUAAGUAACGAUAAAGCGGGUGAAAAGCCCGCUCGCCGGAAGACCAAGGGUUCCUGUCCAACGUUAAUCGGGGCAGGGUGAGUCGACCCCUAAGGCGAGGCCGAAAGGCGUAGUCGAUGGGAAACAGGUUAAUAUUCCUGUACUUGGUGUUACUGCGAAGGGGGGACGGAGAAGGCUAUGUUGGCCGGGCGACGGUUGUCCCGGUUUAAGCGUGUAGGUGUGUGUUCCAGGUAAAUCCGGUUCACUUUAACACUGAGGCGUGAUGACGAGGCACUACGGUGCUGAAGCAACAAAUGCCCUGCUUCCAGGAAAAGCCUCUAAGCAUCAGGUAACAUCAAAUCGUACCCCAAACCGACACAGGUGGUCAGGUAGAGAAUACCAAGGCGCUUGAGAGAACUCGGGUGAAGGAACUAGGCAAAAUGGUGCCGUAACUUCGGGAGAAGGCACGCUGACACGUAGGUGAAGUGAUUUACUCAUGGAGCUGAAGUCAGUCGAAGAUACCAGCUGGCUGCAACUGUUUAUUAAAAACACAGCACUGUGCAAACACGAAAGUGGACGUAUACGGUGUGACGCCUGCCCGGUGCCGGAAGGUUAAUUGAUGGGGUCAGCGCAAGCGAAGCUCCUGAUCGAAGCCCCGGUAAACGGCGGCCGUAACUAUAACGGUCCUAAGGUAGCGAAAUUCCUUGUCGGGUAAGUUCCGACCUGCACGAAUGGCGUAAUGAUGGCCAGGCUGUCUCCACCCGAGACUCAGUGAAAUUGAACUCGCUGUGAAGAUGCAGUGUACCCGCGGCAAGACGGAAAGACCCCGUGAACCUUUACUAUAGCUUGACACUGAACAUUGAGCCUUGAUGUGUAG